rnacentral:rRNA from 1 species
AGAGUUUGAUCCUGGCUCAGGACGAACGCUGGCGGCAUGCCUAAUACAUGCAAGUCGAGCGGGUUUAUCCUUCGGGAUAAGCUAGCGGCGGACGGGUGAGUAACACGUGGGCAAUCUGCCCUUCACUCUGGGACAAGCCCUGGAAACGGGGUCUAAUACCGGAUGACACUCUGUCCCGCAUGGGACGGGGUUGAAAGCUCCGGCGGUGAAGGAUGAGCCCGCGGCCUAUCAGCUUGUUGGUGGGGUGAUGGCCUACCAAGGCGACGACGGGUAGCCGGCCUGAGAGGGCGACCGGCCACACUGGGACUGAGACACGGCCCAGACUCCUACGGGAGGCAGCAGUGGGGAAUAUUGCACAAUGGGCGAAAGCCUGAUGCAGCGACGCCGCGUGAGGGAUGACGGCCUUCGGGUUGUAAACCUCUUUCAGCAGGGAAGAAGCGAAAGUGACGGUACCUGCAGAAGAAGCGCCGGCUAACUACGUGCCAGCAGCCGCGGUAAUACGUAGGGCGCAAGCGUUGUCCGGAAUUAUUGGGCGUAAAGAGCUCGUAGGCGGCUUGUUGCGUCGGUUGUGAAAGCCCGGGGCUUAACCCCGGGUCUGCAGUCGAUACGGGCAGGCUAGAGUGUGGUAGGGGAGAUCGGAAUUCCUGGUGUAGCGGUGAAAUGCGCAGAUAUCAGGAGGAACACCGGUGGCGAAGGCGGAUCUCUGGGCCAUUACUGACGCUGAGGAGCGAAAGCGUGGGGAGCGAACAGGAUUAGAUACCCUGGUAGUCCACGCCGUAAACGUUGGGAACUAGGUGUUGGCGACAUUCCACGUCGUCGGUGCCGCAGCUAACGCAUUAAGUUCCCCGCCUGGGGAGUACGGCCGCAAGGCUAAAACUCAAAGGAAUUGACGG